ensembl:lncRNA novel transcript, antisense to SH3D19
AGCCAAACAAGGGAAUUAUUAUCAAGUUGAAGAAGAAUGUGUCCUUGCUAAGGGAGGAUGAAAAUCUCAAUUAAAAUAUCCCCCAGUAUGUUUUCUUUUUGCUUUUUUAAGCUGAGAGAGUAAAACAAAAGGGAACUGUUUAUUUAUUUUGAAACAGUAUCUAUUCUACCCCAAAGUAGUGGUUUUUGACCUCUUUCCCUUUCAAGGAUAGCUUUUUCCUUAAAACUGUGAUCAAGACAGAGUCUUAAAAGUUGUGUCUUUAUUAGGAUGGGAAAAGAAGAAAGUUCUAUGAUUUAUGCUCUUGCCUUUUGUAAUGAAAGGAGCUAAUGACUUUCAACAGAAGUAUAAUUCACAAAAAGUAAAAUCCAUUUCAUUUAUUACCACUUAACUAAGUGCUUUUUCUAAUUUGAAAGCAAUGCUACCUCCCAUGCCUGGUCUGCAUUUUGUAUUUAAUCUGAAUGGUUUAUUCAACAGUAGUUCUAAAUAAAUUAGCAAAAAGAAUCUAACAUUCUCUAUCCAUCUAGCCAAAUGCCGAGAUUGGCCAGAGGAUAAGGCAAAGCUGAAGAGCGACCUCUUCUUAUUGACUAGCAAUUGUUAUUCUUAGUUUCUUUAUAUCAAGAGACAGGCUUAUCCUCAUCAUCAUCAAAUCCCACUGAAGGAUAUUAUUUGGAGUUAUAACUUAACACUCUUCAACACUGGCAAGCCUGUGAAAUAAAUAAAGGCAGAUUUUUGUGCCCUUUCUUGUCUCUUCACCUCCUCUAAUAACUCUUGUCCCCUUAGAGACGUCCUGACACAUCUAUACCUCUGCCCUUCCCCUGGCCAUGAUGCACCAGGCUGAUUGCAGCGCACUGUGAAUGAUGGUCCACUUUCUCCAUUUCAACCCUGCAGCACCUUUGCUGAGAUCUUUUCUAAAUCUCAGCUGCUCUUUCAACCAAAAUGCACCUGCAGAAACAAAACUUUCAUUCUCUCAAGUUAGGUAAACUGAAAUAUAACUUAAGACUCUAAUGGCUAAUGUAGCUUACUAUAUUAGCUUACUAAGAAGACCCUAACAUUUUUUCAUGGACUGCUUAAUGCUUUUCUCUAAAUAAAUGAACAAUAUGGAAAUUUCAUGAA